rnacentral:rRNA from 1 species
GACGAACGCUGGCGGCGUGCCUAAUACAUGCAAGUAGAACGCAGUUGCGAACGGGUGAGUCACGCGUAGGUAACUGCCUGGUAGCGGGGGAUAACUAUUGGAAACGAUAGAUAAUACAGCAUACUACCAGCUGGGCCUGAGUUGUAUUAGCUAGUUGGUGGGGUAACGGCUCACCAAGGGCACGAUACAUAGCCGACCUGAGAGGGUGUGCGGCCACACUGGGACUGAGAAACGGCCCAGACUCCUACGGGAGGCAGCAGUAGGGAAUCUGCGGCAAUGGACUGAAGUCUGACCGAGCAACGCCGCGUGAGUGAAGAAGGUUUUCGGAUCGUAAAACUCGUUUGUUUGAGAAGCGGUAUCUAACCAGAAAGCCACGGCUAACUACGUGCCAGCAGCCGCGGUAAUUC